AUUGAACGCUGGCGGCAGGCUUAACACAUGCAAGUCGAGCGGAGAGAGGUAGCUUGCUACUGAUCUUAGCGGCGGACGGGUGAGUAAUGCUUAGGAAUCUGCCUAUUAGUGGGGGACAACAUUUCGAAAGGAAUGCUAAUACCGCAUACGUCCUACGGGAGAAAGCAGGGGAUCUUCGGACCUUGCGCUAAUAGAUGAGCCUAAGUCGGAUUAGCUAGUUGGUGGGGUAAGGGCCUACCAAGGCGACGAUCUGUAGCGGGUCUGAGAGGAUGGUCCGCCACACUGGGACUGAGACACGGCCCAGACUCCUACGGGAGGCAGCAGUGGGGAAUAUUGGACAAUGUGCGCAAGCCUGAUCCAGCCAUGCCGCGUGUGUGAAGAAGGCCUUAUGGUUGUAAAGCACUUUAAGCGAGGAGGAGGCUACUUUAGAUAAUACCUAGAGAUAGUGGACGUUACUCGCAGAAUAAGCACCGGCUAACUCUGUGCCAGCCGCCGCGGUAA
rnacentral:rRNA from 1 species